UUCUGGUUGAUCCUGCCAGACCUGACUGCUAUCGGAUUGAUACUAAGCCAUGCGAGUCAUUGUAGCAAUACAAGGCAGACGGCUCAGUAACGCGUAGUCAACCUAACCUAUGGACGGGAAUAACCUCGGGAAACUGAGAAUAAUGCCCGAUAGAACACUAUACCUGGAAUGGUUCGUGUUCCAAAUGAUUUAUCGCCGUAGGAUGGGACUGCGGCCUAUCAGUUUGUUGGUGAGGUAAUGGCCCACCAAGACUAUUACAGGUACGGGCUCUGAGAGGAGUAGCCCGGAGAUGGGUACUGAGACACGGACCCAGGCCCUAUGGGGCGCAGCAGGCGAGAAAACUUUGCAAUGUGCGAAAGCACGACAAGGUUAAUCCGAGUGGUUUCUGCUAAAGGAACCUUUUGUUAGUCCUAGAAACACUAACGAAUAAGGGGUGGGCAAGUUCUGGUGUCAGCCGCCGCGGUAAAACCAGCACCUCAAGUGGUCAGGAUGAUUAUUGGGCCUAAAGCAUCCGUAGCCGGCUCUGUAAGUUUUCGGUUAAAUCUGUACGCUCAACGUACAGGCUGCCGGGAAUACUGCAGAGCUAGGGAGUGGGAGAGGUAGACGGUACUCGGUAGGA
rnacentral:rRNA from 1 species